rnacentral:rRNA from 1 species
UUUUUAUAGGUUGGAUUGUAAAUAAGACCUGCUCCAUGAUAAUUAAAUAGCGGCGUCAGUCCUAAGGUAGCAUAAUCAUUAGCCUCUUAAUUGGAGGAUUGUAUGAAAGGUUAAACGAAUAGAAUAGGGUUUUGAAUUUAAUGUUUGAAAUUAAUUAAUAGGUUAAAAUGCCUAUUUAAAGUUUAGGGACAAGAAGACCCUAUAAAGUUUUAUUAAGGAAUAUUAUUUUAUAUUAAAUUUCUUAAUUUUAUUGGGGCAAUAUUAUAAGAUAAAAUUUUAUAUUUAAAUAUAACUAUUAAGAUUUUUAGGAGCCAUUAAGAAUGAGUAUUUGAUAAAAUUACUUUAGGGAUAACAGCACAAUUAAAGUUUUAAAGUCCAUAUUUACAACUUUGGUUAUGACCUCGAUGUUGGAUUAAUUUUCAGGAUGGUGAAGCAGCUAUCUAAGAAAGUCUGUUCGACUUUUUAUUAAUUA